AUCUAAAUAGUUUAAUAAAAAUAUUGAUUUGUGGAGUCAAAGUUAUAUCUUUAUAUUUUAGAUU
rnacentral:tRNA from 1 species